rnacentral:lncRNA from 1 species
UUACAGCACCAAGCUUCCCGAGUUCAUUUAUCCAGUGUGAUCGCGUGUGUUUGCGUGUGUUCGUGAGUGUUCACCAAACGAUCGUCUUCCUCGUCUCCGGCGACUGGCGAAGGAUCCCGGCGAGUGGAGACUACAGACACGUCCACUUCCUUCGCCAUUUGCUCUGCCCUUGACGAGCUGUGUCGCUGGAAGCUAGUUUUGCAACAGCUGCUUGAGAAGUUGCUAGUCCUUGCUGUGUUGUGGUUUUGGUGCUGGCAUGAGUACUUUGCUGGAUACAUCAAGCUAUCCGGUUCAACCGCGCAAUCAAAACGUAUGGUUGGAAUCGUUUCAAAUUACCUCCCAUCGCCUCUGCUAUUUUUUUUCUUUAUUUAAUUCGUGGAAAGAUAAUAACGUUAUUGUAUAAGGUUUUUUUAAACCCUAACCCCUAUCAUCAGCGGCGACAGCUCCCUGUAACACGCUGGUGGGUUGAACCCUAAAAAGAUUUAAUAAAACUUAAGAAGAAAAUUUUUAUCUAACUAACUAUAGUACUUGAAUCAUACAACCUUACUAUGCUACUCAAAAUAUUAUUUUUACAAUUAUAAAUUUACCGUUUUACUCUUCAUUAAAAAAAAUACGAAAAAAAGAAUUACCACUUCUUUAUUUAGGGUCCUAAUCCCCAUAAUUUCGGAGGCGAUGGGAGGCGAUGUGACGUCUAUGGCCCACCGACCAUAGACACACCUAUUGCCUCCCAUCGCCUUGCUCUCAUCGCCUCUUAUCGUUUAUUAUGUCUUGGGUCCGCUGACCAUAGACACACCAAUCGUUUCUCAUCGUCUCUCCAACCAUUGUAAAAAUAUUCUUACUCUGAAUCCCUAUAAUUCUGCUUUUGGAAUUUCAAACUUUUUUAGAAUGCAUAUUGGUAUUGCACUGUUUUCCCCUCUCCUUGUGUUUUGAAAAAAAAAAUGUGAGGAGCACUUCCUUCCAUUAAGCCGGAGAGAGUACACAAAAAUCAAAGGCCAACCCACUCUUAAUGAAAUAUAUGUGCUUAUUAGACAGCUUCGAGAGAAAAUGCAAAGACUAAUGCAGUUUAAAUCGUUUUCACUAAUUCAAGUAUUCAACACAUACGUUACACAUGAUUUUGUGAAAGAGUUUUAAAACAAAGCUAGAUUCUAAUUAUAUAUAUCAUGAAUCAUGUCGAGUACAACAUCCAGUUACCCAGUGCUAAAUAGGAGCAUUCCAUGGUCGAAUAUGUUGAAUACAACCCUUAUGUAUUUCAGUUUGCGAAAAGGUAUGUAACCUACUGGCUGCAAGAGACUUGAUAGCACCCCAGAUCAAGAGUUCGACUUCUCGUGGAAAGAGUAUUCAGAGAUUUAGUGGCUUUUAUGCUUCAAUGUUAAACGAUGUUCUCAUCGACAAUGAGACAUAGGGAUAGGGUUUACAUGCGUGUAUUUUCUUUAGCUAUUUAAGUAUUGUUUUCUUUUUUAUUUUGGUAAUGCUAGAUAAGGUUAGAGUACCCUGAACUAAGAGAAGAAAGGAAAUUGCUAGUUCUUUGUAAACAAAGCCUCAUGAUCGAUGAUUGCUGGUAGUUGGUUAGGAGAGCCGGCCAACACCGACCUCAAUCCUCACAGUGACAUCAUAUAUUCAUCCAUCUCCAUCAGGCUCUCCUCGGGCCCACCACCAGCUCCUUUUCGGCUCAUCCCGUGGUCAGGGAGGCCAGGGCAGGCUCACUAAUUGAUGACACCCUCCCCAAUCGUGAUGGAAUAAAAUUAGGUCACCACAUCGCAGAGUUGAUAAUUAAGCAAAAUCAAAGAAAAGCUAUAAGCCAUGCUUACAACCCGGUGGAUAACAGGCACCACAAAGUUUUCGGUUCGUUCGCGUGCCUCACCUUUACUGGUCAAGCUCUGUUGGCCAGCUUAUCUGAAACUGUAUUUUUUUUUGGAGUAUUUUCUCUGGUCGUACAUAAAUGACGUUUCGGAGUUUUCUCAGUUCAACCACGUUAAACUUUAUUUGCUACUUUUAAUAUCUUGAGUAUGGAUAUAAAAACCAAUAAUUCUAGUUUUUUUUGUCUUGAAUCUAGUUUUUGUAAAAGUAUACUCUAGAAAAAAAACAUUUUGUAAUAACAAGGAGUAUUUAGUAUAUAUAGAAUUAGAAGAACACCUUAUACCCAUUGUGAAGUGUGGCUUCAUGUAUUACAUUUGGUACAUAUCUUAGUCUAGCUAUAUUUAUCUUUUAUAAUUAGUUACCAGCCCAUUAGAAGCAUGUAGUUGUUGUGAAGUGGACUUAUAUAACACACGUGGAGAGUUGCAGUUGGUGAGUUUAGCACCAUCUUAAAAGUUUACGAGGACAAAGCCAGCUUACAAUCCUUAUUGUUCCAAACGUAACACCUUUGGCAUCUGGGUUAAUCCUUUUAUAUAUGUAUGCAGAAACUAUUACACAUGUGUGGCUAGACCAUGUAAGUAUUUUUUAGACACGAGUAUUACAACCCUGUUCCAUUCAUAAGCAAUGCACUUCUAGAAAUACUCAAUAUAUAUGUUUUGUUUUACAUGGGGUGCUACAGCUUGGUAUGUUCUGUCCAUAAAGUAAUGCACCCCUAGAAGAACUCACUAUUUUUUUUGAAAAAUCUGGAGGAGCCGGGGCUCCUACAGUUUAAUUAUUAUAUUAGGAAAAAAGUUGCAAAGUUACAAAGCAAUUACAAAAGUCGGGUAAAAAAAGAGGCCCACAAAAAAGAGGUGGGCAUUAAGGGACAAAGAAAGAAAUGAAAAAAAUCUGCAUUAAGCAGCUAACAAGGCUAGAGUUUGCUUCCAUGAGUUAUAACUGUCAUGCUGGUCCUGUCUCAAUCUAUAAUGGAGCAGGUUGAUCUCCUUGAAGAACAUUCUGAUGUAGUCUUCUCGAUUUGAGCCAAUUCUUCUGAAAAUCAGCUCGUUUCUUGCCAUCCAAAUAGUCCAACACAUCAAUAUUGUGGCCUCCAUGAAGAAGGGGGAUCUGAGUUGAGCUUUGAUUGCUAUGGAGAAACUUGGGAAGCUGGCUGGCGCAGGGAUGUCUAUGCCAAUUAUGUUCCAGCACAUUCUUGCAAAGUCACAAUCUAUGAAUAGGUGUUGUGCUGUUUCUUCAGUUAUGAAGCUGGAGAGGGGGC